CUGCAUGUUCUAUACUUGGCUUUGUGUAUGGAACAGUGUGUGGAAGAAGAAUUAAAUAAUUCUGAGUUGAGAAAAUAAAAAAAAACAACCCAGCUCUUCAAAAGGAAAAGUUUCUUCACAUGCAGAAAUAAGCAUCGGUGGGAAGCAUAGUGAACCUGGUACUUCCAAAGAUGCCCUGAAAAAGGAAGAUUUGAAGAUCCCAGCACACCAGCAGGACCCAAAGAUGGUUUUGGUUUACUCUUGACAAAAGAAAGGGAGAAUAGAGUAGAGUCUGGGACAAAGCUGGAGGAGAAGAGAGGUCUUGGAACAGAUACAAACGAUACCUGUGUGGUAAGACCCAGCAUUACAAGUGCAUUCAUUAGAAGACAGUGACAGAUUUAAUAAGCAUGGAAACUCCUGCGGCUGUCAAUAACCUUCUAGAUCAGGACUUGGAAGUAUAUGAAAAGCAAUGAAAGGAAUACUGUUUU